rnacentral:rRNA from 1 species
UACAGAGGGGGCGAGCGUUGUUCGGAAUUACUGGGCGUAAAGGGCGCGUAGGCGGCUUGGCAAGUCAGAUGUGAAAGCCCCGGGCUUAACUCGGGAAUUGCAUCUGAAACUGCCUCGCUUGAGUCCUGGAGGGGAUAGUGGAAUUCCCAGUGUAGCGGUGAAAUGCGUAGAUAUUGGGAGGAACACCGGUGGCGAAGGCGGCUAUCUGGACAGUGACUGACGCUGAGGCGCGAAAGCUAGGGGAGCGAACGGG